GCAUCAAUGGGGUAGUGGUAACCUGGGUCGUUGCCAUGAGCCAACGUCGCUCGACCCGCCGGGGGUUCAAUUCCCUCUCAAUGUA